CCUACGGGAGGCAGCAGUGAGGAAUAUUGGUCAAUGGGCGUAAGCCUGAACCAGCCAAGUCGCGUGAGGGAUGAAGGUUCUAUGGAUCGUAAACCUCUUUUAUAAGGGAAUAAAGUGUGGGACGUGUCCUAUUUUGUAUGUACCUUAUGAAUAAGGAUCGGCGAACUCCGUGCCAGCAGCCGCGGGAAUACGGAGGAUCCGAGCGUUAUCCGGAUUUAUUGGGUUUAAAGGGUGCGUAGGCGGCCUUUUAAGUCAGCGGUGAAAGUCUGUGGCUCAACCAUAGAAUUGCCGUGGAAACGGGGGGGCUUGAGUAUGUUUGAGUCAGGCGGAAUGCGUGGUGUAGCGGUGAAAUGCUUAGAUAUCACGCAGAACCCCGAUUGCGAAGGCAGCCUGCCAAGCCAUGACUGAGGCUGAUGCACGAAAGCGUGGGGAUCAAACAGGAUUAGAUACCCCAGUAGUC
rnacentral:rRNA from 1 species